AAAAAGAAAAGAAGGAAUAAAAAAAUUAAAAGAAGAAUAAGUGAGUCCACACAUGAGGGAUCCAAAGAAAGAUAUACGAAAGAAGAAGAAAAAGGAGAAUCCAAGGCGUGAAAGGGAUAGAGGCGGGAGACAGAGAAGACUUGAAAAAGUGGGAAAUAAAAUAAUAAGAUAGAGAGGAGAAAGCAGCUGGCAGAGACGAAAUUGGGGGGGGGGGGAGAGAUGGAGCUGCCUUUGGCAGCACGGGGUCAGAGAGGAUAGAGAUACGUGAGGGAAGCAAAUAAGAAAGAAGAAAGAAAAAAAAGUGAGGGACUGACAGAAAAGCAGAGGGCUGCCCUUUGGGCAGCGUGAGGCUGCGCAGAAAUAAAAGGGACAGUGCGGCAUGGCAGGAGAGAAGUGACGCAGGGAGUGAGGGCAGAAGCACAGAAACGCAGCAGAUCUUAUUCUCUCGGUUAAAUCUUUCCAACUUAUGAUUAAUUUUUUGUUUAAUUUUAGAAUAAUGUGUAGCUAAAUUUAUUUUGGCUAGAGGUUAAUUCAAAGCCAUGAAUAUAUUUGUAAUAUGAAUUGAUUACCUUCGGUUGUGAUUUCAUAAGUUGUGAUUUCAAUUUACUUAUCCGUUCGUAUAAAAACUGAUUUGUGUAUGUUGGUUGAGAGUGCACGCUUAAUUUACAUGCAUGAAUUUGAUGCUAGAAUAUAAGUGAAUUUCACCUAAUCGUUAUGAACUUAUUUUCACAAGUAGUAAAGGUUGCUAGUCACAAUCACGUUAAGUAAAUUCUUGGCAAGAGUAUCAUGCUUUUCAUAGUUACGAAUGCAUCGUCAAUGCUUAUAGUUUUCACAAAGUUUAAUGAUCUUUGAUUGUAUCUCUAUUGUGCUUUUCACGUAGGGGACUUUUGAAGAAUGUUUUGAAUUGUUGUAUGCGUUUUCCCGUCCAAUUCAAUAACUUAAGGAAAACUUGAAGAUUAAAAAAGUGCUGUUCACGGUUAAUCUGGAGUAUUGAGAUUCACAAUUUUAUUGAAAGAACAACUGAAAAUCAAUUUAGGUUGCAUAUGUGUCAUGUGUGUGGAGAAGAACCCUCUAGCUAGUCCGUCAUUUAUCAUUUUACCUUAAUUUUAUGUUUUGUCAAUUCUGUAAUUUAAUUAAGUUUAAUUUACUUUUCAUCAAAACCAAACACCUAUCCAUUAUUAAAUUAUUUUAUUUAUUUAGUUUUCUUUAUUGUUAGUCUUUUAAUUUAAUUUCCGUCCAUUUCAGUUCCUAGUGUUUAAUUUGAUUGUUUUCAUUAUUUUGAGUUAUCCUAAGUGUGUUUCGAGUUAUUAGAGUUUUUAGCCUAGUUUUGUGUCCUUGAGUCUUAUUUAAUAUUUUUAAAUUAAUUUAGAAUAGAUUAGCAAUCCCUCCUAAUCCCCGGCCUAGAACGAUACCCUACUUACAUCCAUACUACAAUUGUCAAAAAGAGGGUUUAAUUUGUGUGUCAAGAAAUUCUCACAUCAAAUUUUGGCGCCGUUGCCGGGGAUUAGUAACUUUGCUAAUCCUUUUAUUUUUGUUUUUGUUUAUGUUUAUAUUGGUGUUUGUGUAUUUUACUUUUGAUAUUUGAUUUAUUUUUCUUUCUUUGAUUUUAGGCACAAAUGGAGCUGAGGGAAAUUUAAAGGAAAGAUGCGUCCGGCUAAAGACGUUAAAUCAAGCGCUUCUUGGGAGGCAACCAAGCAUUCAACGAAGGGAGACUUUGGAAUCGCUAACCCAAUCAGAUUUGCAUUUUUACACCCUUAUCUUUACUGCUUUCAUUUUGUUUUGUUUAGUUAGUUGUGUUAUUUGUUUGAUUUCUGUGAGUUUGUGUUAUUUAGUUUAAGUGUGGGGGAAGGUUAACCAAAGUCUUUCUACUUUAAUUUACAUAAAAAAAAAAAAAAAAAAAAAAUUUAAAAAAAUGAUAUAAAAAAAAAAAAAAAAAAAAAAAGAUAAAAUUUAAAAUUAAUGAUAAAAAAAAGUACAUAAAAAAAAAUAAUAAAAAAAAAAAAAAUAAAUAAAUAAUAAUAAUAAAAAAAGUACAAAUAUUUUACAAUGAUGUAAACUAAUAGUAUUCAUUGGUCGGGUGGUGCUUCAGUAGUAGGCGGGGCUUCAGCAGUCGGCGGGACCACAGAAGGAGGAGGCGGCAGAGGUUGAUCAGUUGGAGCUUCACUACGCGGUGCCGCUCCAGAAGACGAAGGCAGAUGUUGUUGGAACAAACCCACAAACCUCCGAUGAUCAAGUAAAAUUUGACCAUCGGUGUCCUGCAUCUGGUCAAUCUUCCUCUUCAUGCUGGUGGCAUAGCUGUGUGCGAGCUUGUGCAAUUUCCUUAUUCUCAUGCUUGAGCCCUUUAAUCUCUUGCUUGAGACUCUGUAUUUCAGCCACCAAGGAUUCAACGUGACGGGUUCGGGCAUAUAGGCGUUGGGCCAUGUUGGAUACGGAACCCGCACACUGCACACUGAGAGCCAGAGACUCCUUGACCGCCAAUUCAUCAGACCGCCUUGCGAGCAGUCUGUUAUCUCUGGGAGUGACAAGGUUUCGGGCCACCACCGCAGCGGUCAUGUCAUUUUUUUCAUCAUCGAAUCCCCCACGGUAAGGGGACCGGUAGGGGAUAUGAAGGAUGGCCGCCAUAUGUUGUCUGGUGAAGGCGGAGCUGCCUCUUCACCAAUGUUCAAGUCAAAACGACGAUCAGAAGGGCCAGACAUUUUUCAGAGGUGGUAAAGAAAGAAGAGAGUCGGAUGAUCAAGAUUAAACAAGUGCAAGAAGGGAGUGUUUACAGGAGGGUAGCUCAAGUGUGUUGUGGAACAAAAUUAACGCCUCUAUAAAAAGAAGAAAUCAAAGAGGCGCUCCUCAGAGAUGCGUCCUCUCGCAAAUCGAAGAGUCGGGGCUCCUUUCUCAAAAGCCGGAUUCUUUUCUCAAAAGAGGAGUUUCCGUUCUCAAAAGCCGGAUUCUUUUCUCAAAAGAGGCGUUUCAUUUCUUAAAAGUUGGGCUUGCUCAGAAACCACGAGCCGAACCCCGGAUUUCGCAAGAUCAAUUCGUCCAGACGUGUUGUCACCCGUCACACGCAAACUCAGCUCUGCGAAAAUCACGAGCAGUCUGUCGAAGUGCCGAUUCCAACCAUCUGUCUCUCUCUCAGCCUAGUCAGCACUUGUCACAUGCAACUGGCAGCUUUGCGGAAAUUACGGGCAGCUUUGUCAGAAAGCGCGUAAUUUUGUAUUCUUCACCCAUCCACCGGCUGCCGACACUAAGUGAGAGAAACAGUUCCGGUUGUGAAGACAAGUCCUAUAAGUUUCUACCUUCGCCUUCCACAGCAAAAGCACACUCUCUCAGCACACCCUCUCAACACCUCUUCAUCUCCGAAAAUGCAUUCCCAAAGAAUCCUCUCGAGUCACUCUGUGUUCCUCAUUCCUUGGGAUACUCCUGCGAACAACCCAUUCAAAGCAAAAGUAUUUCAUAUCAUAAAGGUUGAAAGCAAGAGUAUCUCAUAUCAUGCUUUCUCCAUGUCCUUCUCCUUGUCUUUGUUUUCCGACAAGGAGAAAGAGAGCAAUCAGCCAGCAUUUGGUAUCAAUCUUCCGAUCUGGAGCCAACUGCCUGGAACCCCUUCCUGAUUGCUUACCUAGCCUUGCUCUCGAGUACUCAUCUUCAUCAUUUUAUGCUUUCUCUUCGUCUACCACAUCUGCCUGGGGGACAGUAAGGGAAGUGAAAAUGAUACCUCGAAGCAUGUGGAGACAAUUCAGCUAGGGACAAGGAGAAAGAAAGCAAGAGGUGGGCACUUGGAAAGAUUGAAGAAAGAAAAUAAGGACCAACACCUUUCCCUCGUGCCUGCCCGUUGUGCAGAAGAAACAAGCAGAGAAGAAUGCAGCUUGCACAAUCAUCCCAGCGGAAGGAGUCCGAACUGAGGAACUAGAGAAGCUGCCACAUCUGCUUGGAGAACAAAUAAGGAACUGCAACAUAACCAAAGAGCAAAGCUUCGCCGUACAAUAUCAUAAAAUCAUCACUUGCAAGUGAAAAGCUAAGUGUCACCCUGUUCAAGAGGAAAGCUGUGGAAAGUCAACAAGCACGACCAAUGAUUACUUAUUAGUUUUAUUCAUUAUCUUUUAUCGUAAUUUUCAAUUUUUCGUUUGCAAUUUUUUUUUAAUUAAUUUUCUUGCGUACUUAACUGAAUUAUUUCUUUUCUUUGCAGGAACUUUUGGUUAUUUCCACCCUUGAAGUUGAUUGCAGAAUUUUAGCUUGGGGGUCAUCGCUUGAUUUUACUGCAAAUUAGGGAAGUUUUCAGUCCAAUUGCUUUAUUUUUUUUUUUAUUAUUUUGUUUAUUUUAUUUAUUUUUUGCAUUAUAGUGUUUUCUGACAUUGGGGACAAUGUCAAGUUUAAGUGUGGGGGUAGAAAUCUCCAGAAUUUCAUUUGUCUCUGUGUUGUUGUUUUUUUUUGUGUUCUUAAUUAGUUUUGUUUUCUUUAAAAAAAAAAAAAAAAAUUAAAAAAAAUUUCGGAAAAUUUAAAAAUCCAAAAAUAUUGUCUUGUUUCCCUUAUUGUUUUGAAUUAGAUUUUUGUUAGUUUCCCGACCCAAUGAUAUAAUUAGAUCAAAUUUGAAUCACGAUUAUCAAGAACUUAGUUAACAUGUGUUUUAUGAAAUUCCUAAUUCUCUUGUUAGUUUUGUACAUGUUUGAUCAUCUUUGAAAAACCAAAUGCACAUAGCCUUGUUGAUGUGAAACUAAAGUAUGACUUAAAGCUUCAUAUGUGAAUUUAGUGACCAUAUACAUCCUAUGUGAGUUUUUGAGCCGAUUGAAAGUGUGUGCAUUUUUCAUACACUCCUAUUCUUUCAUGUGUGAUGAACUUAUGUGAGAUACAUCUCUAGAACUUGCGUAACGAUCUUUCGAAAUGUUUGUCAUUGAUUGCAUGAACUUGGAAAUGAUAGAGGCAUUAGGUUUACCACCAUGGCCCAAAUAACCAUGUUUCCCAAAGAAAAAUGAUAUCAUUAGAUUGCCAAUUUGAGCCGUGUAUGUUGAGCCUUUUAUUUCUUAUCACCAGAUAUGUCUACCCUUAUACCUGAAACAUUUUUCCUUACCCUUUCCAAGCGAGCAAUGCGAAAUUGUCUUAUGAGAAACGUUUGUGAAGUACUUUGAAGGUGUUUGGCAAAAGAAUAAGUGUGGGGGUAUUUCAUGUUUGUAAAAAAAAAAAAAAAAAAGGGAAAAAAGAGAAGAAAAGAAAAAGAAAAAAGAAAAAUUGUACACAAAGAAAAUAAAAAGUUGUUCAAGUUUCAGUUUAAGGGUAUGGUUGGAGGUGCUAGAAGAAUUGUUGGAGAGCUUGAGUUCUUAUAAAUCUAAAGAGAAAAAUUGCUUGCAAUGUAGCUUGGAAUUUGUGUUUCCUAUUCUUUCGUUUCAAUAACCCUAUCCCUAAGCCUCAUUACAUCCAAUAAAAGUCCUCUUGAUUUAAGUUUUGCAAUUAUGACUGUGGAGAAGUGAUCUUUAUGCAAGCUUAUGGUAGAAAUUUCACAUUUGUUUCUUUGAGCGAAACACACUAAAACUAAACACAUAUGUGAUUGAGUGUAUAUCCCGUGAGAAGGUUACUAGUUUGCAUAUGAUGAUUUUAAAAAUAAAAACUUGAAAUUGCAUUAGCAUGGCUAUCUCACACACUACACUUCAAGGAUGAUUCAAAGAUUACUGCUAAUAUUUGAAUAAGGAAGAUGAACUUGGAUUAGUUCCUUGAUGCUAGCUAUGGUUCUUGAUGAUUUGUUUUCUUGAAUGAAAUUCUAUGAGGGUCACAUAGAGGGAAGCUAAUGUUUUUCAUGUUAUUACUUUUUCAUGUUUUCUUUGUUUUGCUCGAGGACUAGCAAAAGUUAAGUGUGGGGGUAUUUGAUCGGAUCAUAUUUAUAUAUAUUUUUACUUCGAAUUCACUCGUCUUUUCUUAGUUAGUUCCUUAUAUUUUUGAGCUAUUUACGUUAUUUUUGUGUUUAUAGGAUUUGUUAUGCAAAGAAAAUAAAAAUAGAACAAAUGAAAUUUUAUGUAAUAAAUUCGUCAAAAAUGUCUGUGUAGAUCAGCUUUUAAAUUAAAUUAAAAAAUAUAUAUAUAUAUAAUAAUGAUAAAUCAUGAUGAUGUUUGAAACAUCAUCAUGAUGGUUUUGUUUUUUGUAGAAGAAAAGAAAGGAACGGAUGGAGAAGAAGAAAAGAAAGGAAUAAAAAAAGAAAAGAAGGAAUAAAAAAAAUUAAAAGAAGAAUAAGUGAGUCCACACAUGAGGGAUCCAAAGAAAGAUAUACGAAAGAAGAAGAAAAAAAAGGAGAAUCCAAGGCGUGAAAGGGAUAGAGGCGGGAGACAGAGAAGACUUGAAAAAGUGGGAAAUAAAAUAAUAAGAUAGAGAGGAGAAAGCAGCUGGCAGAGACGAAAUUGGGGGGGGGGGGGAGAGAUGGAGCUGCCUUUGGCAGCACGGGGUCAGAGAGGAUAGAGAUACGUGAGGGAAAGCAAAUAAGAAAGAAGAAGAAAAAAAAAGUGAGGGACUGACAGAAAAGCAGAGGGCUGCCCUUUGGGCAGCGUGAGGCUGCGCAGAAAUAAAAGGGACAGUGCGGCAUGGCAGGAGAGAAGUGACGCAGGGAGUGAGGGCAGAAGCACAGAAACGCAGCAGAUCUUAUUCUCUCGGUUAAAUCUUUCCAACUUAUGAUUAAUUUUUUGUUUAAUUUUAGAAUAAUGUGUAGCUAAAUUUAUUUUGGCUAGAGGUUAAUUCAAAGCCAUGAAUAUAUUUGUAAUAUGAAUUGAUUACCUUCGGUUGUGAUUUCAUAAGUUGUGAUUUCAAUUUACUUAUCCGUUCGUAUAAAAACUGAUUUGUGUAUGUUGGUUGAGAGUGCACGCUUAAUUUACAUGCAUGAAUUUGAUGCUAGAAUAUAAGUGAAUUUCACCUAAUCGUUAUGAACUUAUUUUCACAAGUAGUAAAGGUUGCUAGUCACAAUCACGUUAAGUAAAUUCUUGGCAAGAGUAUCAUGCUUUUCAUAGUUACGAAUGCAUCGUCAAUGCUUAU
rnacentral:lncRNA from 1 species